rnacentral:rRNA from 2 species
UCCCUGAUGUUAGCGGCGGACGGGUGAGUAACACGUGGGUAACCUGCCUGUAAGACUGGGAUAACUCCGGGAAACCGGGGCUAAUACCGGAUGGUUGUUUGAACCGCAUGGUUCAAACAUAAAAGGUGGCUUCGGCUACCACUUACAGAUGGACCCGCGGCGCAUUAGCUAGUUGGUGAGGUAACGGCUCACCAAGGCAACGAUGCGUAGCCGACCUGAGAGGGUGAUCGGCCACACUGGGACUGAGACACGGCCCAGACUCCUACGGGAGGCAGCAGUAGGGAAUCUUCCGCAAUGGACGAAAGUCUGACGGAGCAACGCCGCGUGAGUGAUGAAGGUUUUCGGAUCGUAAAGCUCUGUUGUUAGGGAAGAACAAGUACCGUUCGAAUAGGGCGGUACCUUGACGGUACCUAACCAGAAAGCCACGGCUAACUACGUGCCAGCAGCCGCGGUAAUACGUAGGUGGCAAGCGUUGUCCGGAAUUAUUGGGCGUAAAGGGCUCGCAGGCGGUUUCUUAAGUCUGAUGUGAAAGCCCCCGGCUCAACCGGGGAGGGUC